GUGAACGCUGGCGGUAGGCCUAACACAUGCCAGUCGAACGGCAGCACAGUAAGAGCUUGCUCUUACGGGUGGCGAGUGGCGGACGGGUGAGGAAUACAUCGGAAUCUACUUUUUCGUGGGGGAUAACGUAGGGAAACUUACGCUAAUACCGCAUACGACCUACGGGUGAAAGCAGGGGAUCUUCGGACCUUGCGCGAUUGAAUGAGCCGAUGUCGGAUUAGCUAGUUGGCGGGGUAAAGGCCCACCAAGGCGACGAUCCGUAGCUGGUCUGAGAGGAUGAUCAGCCACACGGGAACGGAGACACGGUCCAGACUCCUACGGGAGGCAGCAGUGGGGAAUAUUGGACAAUGGGCGCAAGCCUGAUCCAGCCAUACCGCGGGGGUGAAGAAGGCCUUCGGGUUGUAAAGCCCUUUUGUUGGGAAAGAAAAGCAGCAGGUUAAUACCCCGCUGUUCUGACGGUACCCAAAGAAUAAGCACCGGCUAACUUCGU
rnacentral:rRNA from 1 species